rnacentral:rRNA from 1 species
UAGGGAAUCUUCGGCAAUGGGGCGAACCCUGACCGAGCAACGCCGCGUGAGUGAAGAAGGUUUUCGGAUCGUAAAGCUCUGUUGUAAGAGAAGAACGUGUGUGAGAGUGGAAAGUUCACACAGUGACGGUAACUUACCAGAAAGGGACGGCUAACUACGUGCCAC